rnacentral:lncRNA from 1 species
AUGCAAAAAAAAAAAAAAAAAAAUGCCAAGGAGAAGAAGGUGGCCCCAGUCCCUGCUGUCAUGAAGAAGCAGGAGACCAUGAAACUGGUGAAUCCUCUGUUUGAGAAAAGGCCUAAGAUAAGAAUCUUGGCACUGGACAGGACAUCCAACCCAAAACGGACCUCACGCGCUUUGUCAAACAGUCUCACGUUGCAGUGGCAAAGAACCAUUCUUUCCGUGAGUGGCUGAAAGUGCCUCCUGCAAUCAGCCAGUUCACCCAGGCCUCAGACUCUCACGCAGCCACCCAACUGCUUAAGCUGGCCCAGUACACACCAGAGGUAAAGCAGAAGGAGAAGCAGAGACUGUUGUCCUGGGCUAAGAAGAAAGCUGUCAGCAAAGGGAACACCCCUACGAAGAGACCACCCAUCCUUCAAGCAGGGUUAACACUGCCACCACCAUGUUCACACACAGCAAGAAGGCUCAGCUGAUGGUGACUGCGUGUGACAUGGAUCCCAGCAAGCUGUCUGUCUUCCUGCCUGCCCUGGAUUGUAAGAUGGGAGUUCCUGACUGCAUUAAUGAGGGGAAGGCAAGACUGGGGUACUGAGUCCACAGGAAGACCAGCACCACUGUUACCUUCACGCCAGUUAACUUGGGAGACAAAGGAGCUUUGGCUAAGCUGGUGGAAGCUACCAGGACCAAUUAAAUUAACAGAUAUGAUGAGAUCUGUAGUCACUGGGGAGGCAACAUCCUGGGUCCAAAAUCCCUGGCUUGCAUUGCCAAAGCUGGAAAAGGCAAAGACUAAAGAACUUGCCACCAAACUGGGUUAA